rnacentral:rRNA from 1 species
GGCCUGGCUGGCCGGUCCGCCUAACGGUGUGCACUGGUCCCGGCCGGGCCUUUCCUUUUGGCUAGCCGGUAUGUCCUUGGUUGGGUGUGCCGGGGAACCAAAACUUUUACUUUGAAAAAAUUAGAGUGUUCAAAGCAGGCAUUUGCUCGAAUACAUUAGCAUGGAAUAAUAAAAUAGGACGUGUGGUUCUAUUUUGUUGGUUUCUAGGACCGCCGUA